GAAUGGGUAUUUUUCUCUAGUGCAUGAAUGGGCUUUUGGAACCCAUUUCCUAUGGAGGGAUACUCUUUCAAUCUAGAUACAUGGGGGAGGACCUAGGUCCUGCCCCAUAUGAUGUGACAGCCUUUGGUGAUCCCCCAUGGGAGGCCUCACCCUCCCUGUGGAGUGGAUGGGGUGAUGGGGAUGGGGAGUUGUUGGGGGGACUGGGAGGAUAGGAGAAAGAGGAACUGGGAUUGGUAUAUAAAAUUAAGAUUGUUUUUAGUUUAAAUACAAUUAAUUAAAAAAACAGAAUUCUCAGCAGCCCAUGUAACUUUCUUCAAAACUGAAAUAACAAAUGAAUUUUAUCUAACCAUACAGACAUAAAUCUCCAUAUUGACAGCAAAAAAAUCUACAGAAAAUACCCAAACACAUACAGAGUAUUUGAGUCAAGGAAGAAAUCAAUAAAUAAAUGUAGGGCAACCUGUAGCCACGCCUGCUUAGUGGCUGGCUACAGGUCUGCCAGACCAUACCUGCGAGGGUGUGGUCAGGGUAACGUAGAGUGAGAGGCAGUCAGUGACUGGUCAAUUUCAGUUUCGGGUUCCCUUUCGGCUUGUGUACAGGCUGCUGCCACACCUGCUGGCUAGGUCGCUCUGUAAGUAAGGCUUUUCCCUCUUAAAUACCCUUAUAUUUCUACUUGGCUCCGUAUUGGUAAUUUCCCACUAUAAAUAAACUAAAAAAUAUUCUGGAAUUGAAUAAAAAUGAAAACAAAAUCUGUUGCAGACAAGGAAAGUGAUCCAAAAAAGAGUUUAUUGCACUAAAUGUCUACAUCAAAAUAUUUGAGAUAUCUCAAAUUAAUAAACCAAUGAUGCACAAAGAGUGUGUGAAAAACAAGAACAAAAUCCUCCCAAAUCAUAAAUGGGAAAAGAUAAUCAAAAUCAAGGUUGAAAUUAGUGAAGUACAAAUGGAACAAAAACAAAACAAUUAAAAAAUAUCAGUGAAAUGAGUUGGUUCUUUAAAAAUUUUAACAAAUUGACAAAUCUUUACCAAAAUUAGCCAAAGAAAUAUAGGCCCAAAUUAUUAAGAUGAGAGAAUAUUAAAUGGGAGAUUAUUAAAUUAAAAUGCCCUGGACCACAUGGAUUCAGCAUAGAAAUCUACCAGACAUUUUAAGAAGAAAUAGCAUCAAUAUUCUUCAAAUUAUUCUGUAAAAUAAAAAGGAGCAAGGACUUCUUAAUUCUUUCCAUGAAGCAGUAUUAUCUUGAUACCAGAAUCAGAUAAAUACCCUACCAUGAAAUGGGUCCAUAGACCCCUAUCCCUGAUGAACAUAGAUGUAAACAUGGUAAGGCAUUUUAGUGGAGGGAGUAUGAAAAUGGGUAAUUAACAUUUACAGUAUUUGAAAAGAGCACACAAAAACUCACCACUGUAGAAUCUUCAUAGCAUACAUGCUUUUGUAUGGAAUUUCAAUGGUUUUAUCCUAUGUUGGGGCAGGAGGCAACUCCUCCAAUUGGUCUAGGUUCCUAUAUUUUUGAUUCAUUUGUAGACACUUUUAUUCAUCAUCUUUCUGAGUUUGUUGAUGAUAGUUAUUUUGAACUACCUGUCAGUUAGCUCAUAAACCUUCAUUUCUUUAGAAUUGGAUUCUGAAGUGAUUUUAUCACUUUGAUUGCUGUUCAUUUCUUUCUUCUGUGUACUGUGUAGGAUGAUUCUGUGCAUUUGAAUGGCCCCUCACUUUACAGGCCUGAUUUGGUUGGAGAAAGACAUAACUUAUUCAUAGGGCAGGGACUGUAGGGAGCACUCAGACUUUUUUGUGAGUUUUUUUUGAAAUUGUACAAGUAAUUGCUCACUUGAAGGAUUUCAAUUUUAUUAGUUUGUUUGAGAUGCUCCUCUUAUCUUUCUCCUUCUAGCAUCUGUCGAAGACAAUGCAUACCUCUGGAGUUCUCUCAAAUGACCCCUCACUUCUGUUCUUAGUUGUCCUAGGUGUCCACAGGACACUCUGAUCUAUCAGUGACAUGUUCUGUCUGUAAUAUGCACUGGGCAACAAGAAAACUACUCCCAUUAGGGAACCCUUCUUCAAAUGCAAGAAUUGGAUGAUUGCUCCAGAUACUUUCAUCCCCAGAUAGAAGUAGCCAGAUGGAAGAUUUUUCUGCUCCAACUGUAGUGAGCUAGCUUCAGUUGAUGGUUUUCAUGCUUUCCUGGUGUUCUGAAAACUCUUAACAUUUUUUUUCUGUAUUUCUCUUGAAAGAUAUUGGUCCAUGUAUUGUUGAACUUUUGACUCCAUUUGGUAAAAGUACUCAGAGUCCUACAUCCAUUUUGCUGACAAUAUUUCAUAUUAGUUUGGUAUUCUUAGAGCUCGACAGAAUUCCAUUGUUACUCACAAGCCUGUUAUUUAUCCUUUUGUUAAACAACAGUUUACUUACACAUUCUACCUUUGCUAUAAAAUAUGAGUUGACAAGAUAAUAUGCCUGGUUAUUACUUCAUAAAAUCUAAAUUCAAUUAAACAUGUAAUAACUUAUAAUUUUCAUUUGUGCAGUUUCUAUUCCUUUCUACUUUAAUUGGUUGUAUUUGAAAACACAGUUCUUUGCUUGCUCCAUGAAAGAAUUCUCCAAAAGACAAAUAACUAUAAAAUACCUACUCUCUCUGAUUUGAAGUCACCAAACCUGUCCUAGCAUGAAGUACCACUGAAGCAGGAAAAUAAGAGGACACUGAUAGCAAGCAGAGAUCCAGGUUGCUGUUGGAAAAAGCCUCUUUCUAUGGAAUUCUCUGACUAUUUAUGGUAUUAUCCUUCAAAUACAAAUUUCAUGGUGACCUUUUAAAGACAAAAAUAGUUCUCUGUGCUCUUUUCUGUCUUUCUUCUUUCUUCUUUUGUCACACUUUCAUGUUUAGCUGCUUCUGAACAUCUUUUGAAUCUCAAAAGAAAUCACCAGGCACCAUAGCCUACAGCACAGGCUGCUGGAGGAGGCUGAGGCAGCUGUAAGGAAUGGGACAUUUCCCCAAAGGCCAUGAAUGUGUAUAGAGUUAGCAGCUAUGAAACUAGCUAUAUGCAGCAUCAGGAGGAUUAUAAAGAAUGUGGCAUGACUUUGGUCUAAAAAUAAAAAUAAUUUAAAAUUCCCUGGCCAUUUUGAAAAGAAUAUGAACAAAACUUAUAUUGUAAAUAACCAUUUAAAGUGUGAAUAAUGGCAUCAUUUCACAUUCUUUUUGAGAUUCAUAUACUUUGCCACAGAAGUAUUGCAUCUCAUCAUCUCUUCUCACCAUUUUCUCUUCUCUUCUUUUGUUUUUCUGAUCUCAUGCUGUUCAAACUUUACGUUCAAAAUUCCCAUAUGACUGCAGAAAUCAUUGGCCAUAAUGGAUUGUGAUAAUAUGGUUUUGAACACUUAAAAACACAUUUCCCCAUAGAAAAUAUAAGUUUCUUAUGAAAAUAUCUUUCAUUUAAAGCAGCAACAGUAUAAAAACAAUAUAUAAUUCUGUCUUGGUUAAGGUUACUAUUGUUGUGAUGAAACACCACGAUCACAGCAAUUUGGGGGGAAAAGGGUUUAUUUGGCUUAUACUACCACAUCAUGGUUCAUCACAAAAGGAAGUCAGGACAGGAACUCAAACAGACAGGAAGCUGGAGACAGGAGCUAAUGCAGAGGCCAUGGAGGAGUAUUGUUUACUAUUUACUAGCAUGCUCCCUUUGGCUUGUUCAACUUGCUUUCUUAUAGCACCUAAGCCCAAGAUCCUAGGUACUCAACACUCACAUCCGUCAAUCUCCAAUUAAGAAAAUAUCAUACAGGCUUGCCUACAGCCUGAUCCUACAGAGGCAUUUUCUUAAUUGAGGAUCCUUUCUCUCUGAUGACUCCAGAUUUUGUCAAAUUGACAUAAAACCAGCCAACACUAAUGCCAGUAUUUUAAAUUUAUUUUUAAAAAGUUAGUCAGAGAAACCUUUAAGAUACAGCAAACUUAGCCGAUCCAGGUUUCUAUAAUUUUUCAAAAAGCAGAUCAACAUCAUCAAUAUUUUGUUCAUCUAGACCAUGGCUAGUAGUGAUUUUCAAUAUAUCUUUCAACUGAAAAUUCAUUUAACAUUAAGGAUGUAAUUUUCUUAGGUAAAGAAAUAGGUCAGAAAUAUAUUCACUACCAUGUUAAUAAUAUUUAUUUUUGAAUGAUAGAAUUCAUGGCAAUUGUAUUUUCCAUUAGCUUCUACUUUACAGAACUAAUCUCUCCACAGUGAAAUUUUAUCACUUUUUAAGAAAUGUACAAACGUAGGAAUAAACACACACACACACACACACACACACACACACACACACACACACACACACACACGUGAGAGAGAGACACACACACACACACACACACACACACACACACAGAGAGAGAGAGAAGAGAGAAGAGAGAGAGAGAGAGAGAGAGAGAGAGAGAGGCAGUCAGACACACAUAGAGACAGCAGACAGGCACAUAAACACACAGACAACAAAGACAGACAGACAAACAGACAAAUAGAGAUAUACACACCUCCAAUAUUGCAUCCUAGACUACCAGUGUUCAAACUGAAUCCAAAAUAAAUUAUUCCAUUGAACAACUACUGUUUUCCAGUGUGUUGGGGAUGUUGCACUGGACAAAGAAAACAAAAUGUUAUUUCAUCUGUGCAUCAUGUAAAUUUGGAAGCAUGGAAGACAAUGCUACAUUUAGUGAGAAAAUAAAGCCAUAUUGGAAAAAAUAUGACAUGGAAGGAACUGAACAGACAGUAGUGGCAGUGAGAUAUUCUCCAGGGCUAAUGGUCAUUCACGGCUCUUCACCGGCGUUUAAAUGUAUUCAGGGACUCAAAAAACUGUGGGGAAGGGAGAGAGGGCAAGGACGAGGGUGAGGGUGAGGGAGAGACUCAUGUAUAUAUUUAUAGAGAGAGACAGAGUGGCUAAUUUAGAUUGAGCAAAAGUGAGAAAAGAUGAUUCACAGAAGUAGCCAGAAUCCAGAUUCUCACAGAUAUGGAAUGCCAUUUUUAGGUUUUGAGAGAUAAGUGGAAACAAUGGACUGUAGAAAAUAGCCUGUCUCUGUGCAAGAAUAAGAUAGCACUACUAGGAGGCGGCAGCUAUUAUAAGGAAUGGAAGUAACCUAUCUCGGCAGCAAGAGUGAAGAAAAAAGACAAGUGGUGAACCACGAGAUAAGGGUGGAUGCUUUUAGUAAAGAAUAUUCCUGGCUUAAAGAUCCUAAGUACCUCUCUAGUUUAAAAUACUUCAAAUCAGAUUGCUAUUUUGAUAUUCCAAGGCUUGUUGGUCUGUCUGGGAUGUCACUUUAAAAAAAGCAUGAAGUAUCUUUGGAGCCAGAUGGAAGAGUCCCAUCAUUUCAGUGUGCACAUAUUUGUAUACCUGAAAUAAUUCUUUUUAAUUUUUUCUCUCUGGCAGUUUAGGGUACUGACUCCAGGGCUUUGUACAUGUUAGGAAAGUGCUCUGCCACUUAGUUACAUAUGCAGUCUAAAACCAGUUUUUAAAGAUAUUUUGAAAUAGAUAUUUAUAUUUAACACUCCUCUUUUCAUGUCUUCCUAUGAAUCAUUAUCAUCAUUGAGGAUCUUUUGAGGUAACUAUAAAUGCUGAUGUGAGCCUGACUCAUUGUUUCUCAGUUGGGAAUUUGGCUAUCGUGAAACGAUACUAAUCUAAAGGCUUGUGUUUAAUUGCAAACAAGUUAUUAACAGGGUGUAAUGAUCUAUUGCAAUAGUCUGACAUAAACUUUUAUCAUUAUUGAAGUAUGUCAGAGAAGCAGAACCUGAAAACAAGGUCAGAUAUUUCCAAAAAUGAAGAUUUUAGUGGGACACCGUGAGAUGACACCUAAUUACAGACUUCAUUGUCCUUUUGACAAGUACAGGAGAGCCAUCAAGUGCCAAAAUGAACUUCAAAGUCCAAUGCAGCAAGAGCUCUUCCAUGUAAAGCAUACAACAUUUGUCAUUUUCUUCCCACAAAUAUCUUUAAGGUAAUUGCUAUUUUGGAUGCAGGAUGUUGUGAAAAAUGAUACCCCUCUUCUUCACUUCCUCUUAAGAAGAAAGCAGCAUACUUGAGUGGCUAUUUACAAAGCAGAAAGUAAAGUGGCUUACAUACUUGUUUGCAUUUUCCAUGAGAAAAAAAAAUUACUAAGAGCUUGGCUGGCUUUUUUUAGUGCCUGCUUUUUGCUCCAAUAGUCAUUAGCAUAGGAAAUGAUGUAUGUAAUCUUCAUUCAGAUUGUGUGUACAUAUGGUUCAGAACUGGAGACUGAUAAUCUAGAAUGCAAAUCAAAGCAAGUGAUUUGGUCUCAGUAAAAGUAAUCUGCAUAAAGUCAAAGGAAUAGUAAGUCUGUAAAGUAGUUCAAUGCCUCACCUUCUGUAUGGAUAUAUGUAUUGGAAUUGCUAUACAUUUCAGAAUUUCUUGUACAUAGGCUAAUUUUUAUUAGUGGUUUUAUUUCUGUUUUAUUAAGUAACACCUUCAAUUAAAUAUUAGUGAAAUAUAGGGUUGUUAUAAUAAUUCUUUGGAAUUAUAAUAUAAUUUCAUUACUUACCUUUCCUUCUCCUCCCUUCAAACUCUCCCAUAAGUCUUUCCACUUGCUCCCUCAAAUUGAUGGCCUCUUCUCUUAUAGUUGUCAUAUGUAUACACACACUAUAUAUAACAGUAUUAGUGUAUAUAGGAAUAUAUGUAUAAUAAUAUAUUCAGGAAUAUAUAUAUAAUAAAAUAAUAGGAAUAUAUUUAUACAUACAUAUGUAUUCCUAAGUCUGUUAUUUUAUUAUAUGUACUCCUAAAUAUAUAUUAUGCAUAUAUACACAUGUACAAGUGUGUAAUAAAUAUAUAUGUAUAUAUUCCUAAGUAUAUUAAUAGUUCUGCUUUGUCUGUAUAUUACUUAUAAAUAAUCUAAGAACUGAUAACUUACUAUUAGAAAGGCAGUAUUGGGCUCUUCUCUGGGGAAGAAAAUUUCUCCCUCUCUCAGCAUUCCACAGUUGUCUGUAUUUUUGUCUGGGGUUGAGACAUCUCUUUCCUCCUUACUAUGUCUUUUGGUGUCAUCAUUGUUCAUAUCUUUCUUAAGCAGCCAUGUUGAUGAGAUUUCAUGACUAUUGUUUCUCUGACAUUCCUAGGAGACACAAUCUCACAGAAAAUUCUCUGUUCCUUUGACUCCUAUUCAUAAUGUAAAAAUUCAUUUACCAACGGGAUGCAAGACAUUUAUCAGAAAACAAUCAGUAGGGUGAAUGAGGAGAUAUUCUCUCUUACCCAGUAUGCUUUUUUUUUCUAUGUAUAUCAUUGGAUUCCUUUCCUUUGGCUAUUUUCCAUAGCAACCAUCAUUGACUCUAUCUCAAACAUGAUGCAAAACCACUUGAAAGUUUCAGGGUAAUUCACUUUGAGUUAUACAAUAGCCUCUUAUGAUUCAAUCUGACUGAGUUAUUUAGCAUUAUUUUCUCCAGACAGAUGGCAACAAGGGUCCAAAUAUCCAAAUAUAAACUAAUAAAAUAGUCUAUAAAAUGGAUCUUUUCUAGUAUCUUAUUUUUGGAAAAGAAUAUUGCUGAUCAGAUUAUGAGGUAAUAAAUUUACCUCAUAGAUAUAGGCAUAUCAGCUAAUAGAUCAGCUAAAGGUUUUGGUGGAAUUCACUCCAUACCUGUCAGCUUAGACAUGGUUGACAAAUCACUACUGCCCAAAGCAAAGUAUGAGUACAACAUUCUUAUAUAAUUCAUAUUCCUUUUUAUAACUUUGAGACCUUUUCUGAUUAUUAUAUGAAGCAAACUAAUAAAAAAUGGCUUGUGUGCACUCCAUGCAAGCAAAAAUGAGUCAGUUGUGUUUUGCAAUAUUUGUGUUUCCUUCUUAUUCUUAAAAGAAAAAUAAACGAGGGAUACCUAGAGAUGGGAAUUGUAACUCUGCCUUUUUCAGUUACUUUUCCUAGUCAUUAUCUUUAAACUGAUAGUAUUAAAAAUGGCUCAAAACUCACAGGAAUUCAGAGACUGGAGCAGCAAGCACAGAGCCUGCAUUGGUCUGCACUAUGUAUCGUCUCUAUAUGUUUUAUAGCUUUCAGUUUUUAUGGGGUACCUAAAUGUUUGAAUGAGUGGGUCUCUAUUUCUUGUACUUGAUCUUGGGUUCAUUUCCUUCUGUUGGUUUGUCUUAGCCAACUUUGAUGUGAUUGUUUUUGUUUCAUCUUAUUAUAUUUUAUUUGUUAUUUUGAUGUUAUGUCAUAGAAGCUAGUUUUUCUCUUAUGAGAGAAAUAAAGGGAGUGGAUCCAUUUGGGAGGGGAGGAACUGGGAGCAAUAGAUAGAGAAGGAUUGAAAUCAAGAUACAUUGUAUGAGAAAAAACCCAUUUAAACAAAAGAUGAUGGGGUUCCUGCAGGUGUCAUACAGGGAAUGGAACCAUGCAAACAGGUAAGAAUGAAAAUUAGGUGCAGAUUAACUUCAUCAAACUGGGUCAGACUUUGGGGGUCUAAUGCCAGGUGAUUCAGUGUCAGCAUGUUUAAAACACAGUGCAAUUUGAGAUAAGGUUUACAGGCAACCAUCAAUCCAGUUCCAGGUGCACAUUAAAGCUUAAUGUGUGACUUCAUAGAAACUCUUUACAAAGUACGUAUGACCAUGAGGGUGGGUUCUGUAGCUAAAAGGCCUAAAAUCUAGUGUGGUCUCUGACCAACAGGCCGUAAAGUACAUGUGACAUCUCCCAUAAGAAUGGGUAAUGGUCUAGGGAGGGAUAGUCUAGAAUAAUCAUUCUGGAGAAUUGGGUGAGGUCUGCCUCCACAGACAACAAAAGGGUCACUAGGUCAUUCACAAAAUCCACUCUCAGCUCUGGAUGGGAUAUAGGUACUUGAUUUUUAUAUCUUCCAGUGAGGGGACACUUCUGUGUGAUUAAUACUACUGGUUCCCUUAGUGUUUCCUUAUUAGAACAAGGACUUCUGUACCCCCAACAAAAUGGGGAAAAAUAAAAAUUAAAAGAAAAAGUUUUCUCAGUAACAGAGUUGUUCCUUUUGUAAAAGUGUUGAUAGUCUUCAGUCUUUUGCCAUACUUGGACUUUGUAAUAGUUUCUUCUACCUUCUCCUCCUCCCUUGAUCUCAUCUUACAUGACUUUUUUUGCAUCUAAGACAAUGAAGGGCUGCAUCAGUCCAGUUUUCAUUACUAUCAUGAAAUACCCAAGACUAGGAAAAAUGCAUAAAUGAAAGAGGUUUAUUUAGGUAAUAGUUAUGAAUGUUCAAAAUGUGAUUUUGCCAGCUGCUUGGCAAUGGUGAAUUUCUCAUGGAAAAUGAUGCCAAAUAGCAGAAGGUGGGAGUGAGCUACCACAUUGCUAGAAAAGAAAACACAGAGCUGAUUCAGACCAAGUUCAGGCUGUUAUAAAAAAGUAAUAUUUCUAAGAAUCUCUACAAGAAUUAACCCUAAUUUCUCUUGUGAACAUCUUCCCUGUGAGCUGAAAUCCUGUAGAUGACACCUUUUAAAGGCUCCACAAUCUCUGACAUCUGCAAAGCAAGAGCCAAGCUCUCCAAACAUGAACUGUGGAUCCUACUAACUCAAGCCAUAAUAUUUAAAACACAGCAACAGUCUAUAGACUUUGACAUAUUACUAUAUGUCCCAGACCUCCCAUAACAGUUGCACAGGGACAGGCCCUAUGGAGUAUAUUGCAAUCCAUUGGUGCCAAAUAUUAAACGAUGACCAAAUGUGGGGGGAAGCCAGUAUUUUAGUACAAAGAAAGAACUAAGCACUUUACCUAGGAAAGCUCUAAAAUAUUUGUUGAUGGAGGAAAACGUGUCUAAACUUCCUAUGUCUUUCAUCAUCCCCACAGGAUGCUUUGCUUUGCCAAAAGUGCAAAUCUCUGCUUAGCUGUAAUGUUAGCCCAGUUUAUUGGAGUAGACGAUCCCCCCUACUAUAAAUGCACUCCUAGGAACUAUAAGUACAUCAGAAGGAGCAGCAGGAGUGUUGAGGUAUUUGCAUACUUCUCAUAAAGAGGGGAACUUCUAAUGACAAUAAGGUCUGAGCUUCUAAGGGACUUCUUCACAAAAUAUAGAAUUUUACAAAACACUAUCUGUUCUUUAAGGAUAGAUAAUUUUUCCCCUCCUAAAAUUUAUAGUAAUAACAACAUAUUCUGGAACUACCAAAUAGCACAUUGUAUAUUAUCUUGUCCUGUUAAUUUAUUUUUAUUUAUAUAACAUAGUCAUUAAGUUAUUGAUAUAAAUACCAAUGUGUUUAAACGCUUAUCUCAUAGUAUUUCUUUAUUCAUAAGAAUUUAGAAGUAGGCCCUGCCCCAAAUGAUGUGACAGACUUUGUUGAUUCCCUCAUGAAAGGCCUCACUCUCCCUGGGGAGUAGAUGGGAAUGGGAGGGGGUUGGUGGGGGGUAUGGGAAGAUUGGAGGGAGAGGAACUGGGAUUGAUAUGUAAAAUAACAUUGUUUCUAAUUUAAAUAAAAAAGAAAUAGCACAUAAACUCUGAAAUAAUUCAAUUUUCACUUUAUAUGUACAUAGUAUCUUGAGUAAUUAAAAUCAUAGUUACUUGGUUUAUCACACAGAGUUUGUCUAAUGACUCAAUUUCAUAACAUUAAUUUCUUAUUUUGUAAAAUAGCAUAUUCCUGUGUGCUUUCUUUGGUGUCAUAAAGGACUUACUGCUCAGCAGGCUGUCAUUUCUAUUGACACUUUGAAAGCCAUAGGAAAUGAUUUCAUUUAUAAUCUUAGAUCUAUAAACUAUCAAGAUUACUGUUCAAUAAAGUAAAAUGUAUUUGCAUUUAUUUUCCAACUUCUAAAUGAAUCACCCUAUUUGUUUUCCCUUUUACGGCUUUCCAAAUAUUUCUGCCAAGACUUUUUAGGAUAAUAGUGAUAGAGUGUGGCUAAGUGGCCCUCUAGCUAUAGUGAUGUAAUGAAAUACAUGGCAAAAGGCCCCUGCCCACCACCCAUAUCAAAACAUCCAUAACAUUGGAAUCAAGUAAAACACACAGUGUCCAUUUCAAGAGUGAAACCUUUGGCUUCAGUAUGGAUGAAGCAGUUCAGCAGGACCUAGUGAACAGAGGAACCCUUUAAGACAGCCACAGCCUAUGCAAUUGCCACUCUGACAAGCCUGUGUGUGCCAGCCAUUUCCACCCAACAGUCCGUUUUUCCUCCACUGUAGUCUCAUUUUUUUUUUUACUAAGUAAUUCACAAUCAUUUUUAGAGGAGAAUGAUGACACUUGUUAGAAAUGCAUCGACCUUGUUUUCCAAUUAGUCAUGUUAGUGAUUUCAAGGAAGGAGAAUGAGUUAAGCUUGAAGUACUUGAAUAUUGACAUUUACUAUAUAAUCAAAAUAUUCAAAUAUUUUAAAAACAUAAUUAGCAAAUAUUAGUUUAUAAAUUGAAAUAGAAUAGCUAACACAGGUAUUUCCAUGUACAUGAAAAAUUUUGGGACAGUUGAAUGAAGUGAUUCAGUAUUUUCUCCCCAAAGUUGUAGAAAAACGAAGCCUAAAUCAUACAAGUUAUUUUAUGUUCAGGUAAUGGGUCAAAUACAUGAAACCAAUCAGACAUAGCAAGUUUUGACCACUCUGACCUAUAUUAUUAAGAUGAUGAGGACUGUAAUAAUCAUUAUUAUUGUGUAUAUGUGUUCUUAUGUAUGUUGGUGCAGGUGUGUGUGUAUGUGUAUGUCUUUGUGUGAGUACAUGCUGAGGUCAAAGCCAACUUUAGAUGAGUUCCAUAGUAGCCAUUCAUUUUGUUUUUUGAAAUCCAGUUGAUCCAUGGCCUGGAGCUUGCUAGUUGGGUAAGGUUUGUCUCUUUCCAUUGUCCCAGCACUGAUUUACUAGCACAUGUUUUAUGUACUUUUUUCUACACAUGUUUUGGGGAUGAGACUCAGGUUCACAUGAUUGUAUAGCAAACAAUUUAUGUCCUGAACUCUCUCUUCUGGCACAGGAUAUUUUAAAUUAUAUAGCACAGAUUGUUCUUUCUACAUAUCAGAAACAACUUUGAAGUCAUACAGAUACUAAUUCACUUUUGAGAAAAUCCUUUUAAGUUAAAUUUUAUUCCCUCUGUGUCACAGAUGAGGCUACUGAUACUUAGAGAGGUAGAAUAAGUUGUCCAAGCCAUUCUAAGAGUGGUAGUCAGGCAGCAGCUUCAGGGAAACCCUAGCAUUGAGCUUCAGGGCCUAUGGUCCUAGCUACUUUCUGCCACUGCUUAUGUGGCUAAAGAGACAGAAUACUCAGAUUAAUAAACUAAGAGGCUUGGUGUAUAAGGAGUUAAACAAAUGUUCUUCAGUUAUUGUCUUUCCCUUAUAUCUUCCCUACUGCAUGAUAAAUCAUUAAAUAAUAUUUAUGAAAAUAUAGUCUACUAUGCAAGGUACUGUAAAUAUACAUCAGGACUACUGUGGUGGGAAUUACAACAGUCUCCAUCAUUUCAAUCUUGUAAAACCCACCAAGCAUAGAUGAGGUGUCAAACAAGGUGUCAAACAAGGAAACCCAUCUCUCACAGUUGUUGAGACCAGGGAUUUCAAGAUCAUGAUAUUGACAGUUUUGAUGUCUGACAGGGUCACUUCUUGGCUUGUAGAUGUCAGUCAUAUGGUUGUAUAGUCUAUAGUUAUGUAUAGACAGCAUAACAAGAGAAACCAACUAAUUAUAAUCAAGGUAGUACUUCCAUUUAUGAGGUUCCCAUCCCAUAGUACAGUUCUUUCCUCAAAGCUCCAUCUUCUAAUACCAUGACACAUUGGUUUUCAAAUUCAACAUAUUGAUAUUUAUGAGAAACAUUGUUUGCUAAUACCAUGACACGUUGGCUUUAGAGUGCAAAUAUGGAUUUUUAUGAGAUAUGAAUAUUUGAUUGAAUUGACUCAUGGCAAUAACUAACCAGUCAUGAUGACUGCUUGAGAUCUAUCUUGAAGAAGGAAAACAACCUAAGAGCAGCUGAAACGCAACACAAGGAAUGCAUUUUGCUUUUCUUUUAAGUUUUUCAUAGUAAGCCAUGUUGUGCUAAUUUAGAUGAAUCACACUGCUUUUAAAUCAUUAAACCCAGGCUAUUAGCCUUUCUGUUUUUGUGCUUGCCUUAUGUGAACAAUUCUGUUGAUGGGAUUUUUACAAAGGGCAGAUUGACAUUUCAGAUGACUGUUAGCUGACUGGAAAUGAGGAGGAUAGCUUAGGUCGAUUCUUAUCAUAUUUGGGGAGCCAAGGAAUGACUUGGAGAGCUUGUUAAUACUGAUUCUUGGGUCCCAGUGGAUCUUGAUUUAGUAGUACUCAGCUGAGGCUUUAGAAUUUGCAUUUCUAAUAAGAUUUCAGGCAGUGCUUGAAUUGCUUUCUAUGGAUUAUAUUUUUAUAGUAGCAGUGUCCUAGAUACCUUCCAAUGAUUGCGAUGAUGAUGUCGAUGAUGAUGUCUGAUCCAAUUUUUCUCCCCCAGGAGAUUAGAAGCUGGGCCUGUUGGUGUUCAUCUACAAUUUCAACACUCAUAAGGCCAAGGCAGGAUGAUGAGGUAUAUGUAUAGAGAGACCCUGUACCAAAAAAGAAAAAGAAAAAAAUGGAAGGAGAGUGUAAGAAAAUGCAUAUCCAUGUUAUAGUUUAUGGGCUAUGUUCUAUGAAUCCUCUUACCUUGUCUUUUUGUAGAUACAGACUCUCUAUGUUGCUUAAUAAUUCUACCUUGGAGAGGAAUCUGUCAUUGCAUAUUCUUUGUCACGUUUGAAAUAGACUCUAGAUUAUCCCUAGAAGAUUUGCUCCCUCACAGUCUUCUUGCUAUGAAAGUAGUCGUUAUUUUCACCCAGAGUUCCUCAGCUACGUUCCAUUCACACAAGAUUCAUCCUGGGUUCUUUGUCUACUCUGUGGGCUUUAAGGCUGGGAGAACCAUAAACACAUUCAGAUACUCCUGCUUGUUGCUUAUGUUUAGUUAAUAUAGUCUUUGGCCUGUGAUUUAGAAGUCUCAUAUCUUUUGUCAGCAGCCAAGGAACUGUGACACUCCAGGUCUGUGUUUAUUCUGAUGAGAAUUCUACUCCUUCUACCUCUCUACCAUACUGCAAAACAUUUGCAAGUAGGGUAAAAAGCCACAACAAGCUAAAUCGAAUAGCACCCUAGUUCAUUUGUCAUAAAACUGAAGGUUUUUUUUUUCAUGGAAAAGUUUCUUCCACCUAUACUAAAAUUCACAAUGAAUUAAAUGAGGCUUUAGAAGAAUUAAAGCAACAUGCUAUUUCACAUCUUAGAGCAGUAAUUUCAGUGUUCUAUAUCACAGACAUUGAUCGCAAAUGAACAAUAUCCACAGAAGAUGAAGACCAAAUCAAAACUGGGAUGAGGUGAUAUGGACCAGACCAAGCAGCAUUUGUUACAGCAGGACAGAAUUGUAAGGUAUUUGUGUUUCGUGGUUGUCAUUGUGAACAUUCUGUGAGUAGUAACUGCACAGUAUUCAUUCUCACUAUAUGCAACAUCCCUGGAGGUAUCCUCAAAUUAGAAGUGUUUAUUCAGUGCCUGUUUAAUAAAUGAAAUCAAAAGUUUGAUUGGAAGGCAUACUUUGCUGUUUGUGGUCUGAAAAACCAAAUCCACAGGACAUUUACUAAAGUUAUUUAAUCAUUGUCGUACUUUCUAUAUAUGCACAAAUACAAUAGCAAUAACAUCUCCUUUCAAAGUUGUGAAAUCUGUCCCUUAACAAACACUCAAUAAGAAUCAGUCAUUACUGAUGGAAAACAUUAGAACCCAUAGAAUUGCAUUUCUAAAAUUCAAGAAAAAAACUAUGCUUAUUGCUUUAUUCUUGGUUGUUUUUAACUGUUGGAAUAAAUUUAGGUUUGCAUUAUAGUAAUUAGGGCUAUAUCUUAAGUCAUAAAUCUAAAGCAAUUAAGGGCUACAAAUCUCACUUUAUAUUCCAUUCAUUUCAAAUGUAGAUGCAUGGAAUAUUGGAGUAUGGAUAAAAUCUCAAUACCAAGCUAGCAUUUCAUCUCUCAUAAGAGUUAUUACCCAUCCUUUGAAAAUAUGAGAAUUUUCUCACCCCUUUAUGUAAACAUUUCCCCCGCAUUCACCACCUUGCCCAACAGCAUAGCUAAUUCUGAGUCAAAAUCAACACAGGCUGUCAAUUUGGUAUGCACAACAUCUGGUCACUUCCAUAUUUACCAAUUGUGGAGGUGAAAGUGGUCUAUUUCAUUUGGAAAUGUAUCACUGUGUCCUGUCCAUCCCCUGCAUGGGCCUCUUGUUUGAGAAAGUUGUUUCUAUACUCCUCUUAUGUAGCCUUCAAAUUUCAGUUUUUUCUAAGAAAAACUUUACUUCUAGAUUGAGACUACCUCCUUACCCAUCAUGUAGUUGUUUCAUUUACUGCACUCCUCAAAAAGCAUAAUAUUCUGCUGUAAUAUCUACAAUCAACACAGAUAAUGUUACAUUCCCCAAAUUGCUGUGACUCCAUUAUGCCCUAUAUGUGGAAUAAAUCGGCAGUCAGUCUACACAGCUGCUGCUAACUGCUCUUUUAGACUUCCCUGCAGUUAAGUAAUGAAUCUUUAUCAACUUCCUGAAUAAUUUACUCCUAAAUGCAUUAAAUUGAAUGUAAAGGAAGUUUUAAAAAAUGGAGACAAACCAUUUCUGGUAGCUGGUGAUAAUCUUAAAACUUUUAGAGUGUUUCUCUCUUUACAAGAAAUAGGUGAAAUAGGCAAAACUCCUGUUCUCUGAGCUUUGCGAGAUAGUAAAACUUAAACUGAAACAACAGUAACAACAAAGCUCUAGUUGAUGGUGAGAGUUCAUAAUUCAAUCAAUGCCAAGUAGUACAGCAAACAUUCCUGUAAUUAUAAAAAAAAUGAGCUGGUCAUACUAAUUUUGCUUAAUAAUGUAUUGAUUUUAGGUAUUUUAAAGACCAUCUAUUGUUGAAAAAACAAAGGAAAAUGAAUUUUGUGUGGCCAUUAAAAUUUUGAAGGGGGAUCUGGCCCAAGGCCAGACUUGUUCUGGAAGUUCAUCUCUGCAGGUCUUCUCGGAGUCAUUUCUCUAUUUUCAACAGAUCUUUGCUUUGCUGGUUCCUAAUGAUGAUGUUCAUGUUAUUCAAAGCUCAAUGUUGGAAAAAGGCAUGGAAAUUUAUUUCAGAUAUUUCCUUAUUUAAAAAAAAAUCAGGCUGAAGCAACUCACUUGAUGUACAUUAUGGUUAGAAGCAGAACACAAAUUGUUUUCCAAACCCUAAUUAAUUUCCUUUAUUAUUAUUUCUUUUAAAUCACUUUUUAAAAUUAUGGACAGGAGAAUCAGAAAACUCCUUUUGUUCCUGGCAGAGGUCAUACCUUGGUGUUUUGAUGCAUCCUGUCUAAUGGACCUAAGACCUGUUAGUGUAAUCAUAAGUCUUUACUCCAAGCCACCGAGCCUUGGUGCCAUGUGGGUGCUUUCCUCCAGGCUGCCCAAGUUCUGCCCUCUACCACGUUAAGGUCCCAAGUAACAUAUAGAAACUUAUAUUAGGUACAAAUGCUGCUUGGCCAAUGACUAGGAUUUCUCAUCUGCUAGCUCAGUCUCAAUUAUCAGCCAUAAUCAUAUGACUUAUCUUAUGGUGGACUCCAGCUGCAGGCAUCUUCUCUUGCCAGGAUCACAUGGCUGCUCCAUCUGGAGUAGAGCAGGAGGAAGAGAAACAGCAAGAGAAUGACUUCCUUCCUGUCCUUGCUUAUGAGUCUGCCUGCUAUGUCACUUCCUGCCUG
ensembl:lncRNA